rnacentral:rRNA from 1 species
UACGUAGGUGACCAGCGUUGUCCGGAUUUACUGGGCGUAAAGCGCGCGUAGGCGGCUUUGCAAGUCGGAUGUGAAAUCCCCAGGCUUAACCUGGGAACUGCAUUCGAGACUGCAUUGCUAGAGUAUGGGAGAGGGAAGUGGAAUUUCCGGUGUAGCGGUGAAAUGCGUAGAUAUCGGAAGGAACAUCAGUGGCGAAGGCGGUUGCCUGGAGCUUUGCUGACGCUGAUGCGCGAAAGCGUGGGGAGCGAUCCGG